CGAAAAUCAGUGCCCGUAGGUCCUUGAAGCCGGUGCGUUUGCCGCCGCGGCUUCUCGGUUAAAAGGGAAGCCGGUGCAAAUCCGGCACGGUCCCGCCACUGUAAACAGGGACGCAGCUCAUAUUGCCACUGUCAUCCGCUUAAGACGGGGGAUGGGAAGGCGAGCCGGCGUCGAAGCCUGCAAGUCAGGAGACCUGCCCACGGGAGAUUAAAGAC
rnacentral:ncRNA from 1 species